GCUCAGUAACACGUGGACAACCUGCCCUUAGGACGGGGAUAAACCCGGGAAACUGGGUAUAAUACCCGAUAGGUCUCGAGUGCUGGAAUGCAUCGAGAUCUAAAGCUCCGGCGCCUAAGGAUGGGUCUGCGGCCUAUCAGGUAGUAGUGGGUGUAGUGUACCUACUAGCCUACGACGGGUACGGGUUGUGAGAGCAAGAGCCCGGAGAUGGAUUCUGAGACACGAAUCCAGGCCCUACGGGGUGCAGCAGGCGCGAAAACUUUACAAUGCUGGCAACAGCGAUAAGGGAACCUCGAGUGCCAGGUUACAAAUCUGGCUGUCGUGAUGCCUAAAAAGCAUUGCAUAGCAAGGGCCGGGCAAGACCGGUGCCAGCCGCCGCGGUAACACCGGCGGCUCGAGUGGUAACCGUUAUUAUUGGGUCUAAAGGGUCUGUAGCCGGCCGGAUAAGUCUCUUGAGAAAUCUGGCAGCUUAACUGUCAGGCUUUCAGGAGAUACUGUCUGGUUCGAGGCCGGGAGAGGUGAGAGGUACUUCAGGGGUAGGGGUGAAAUCUUGUAAUCCUUGAAGGACCACCAGUGGCGAAGGCGUCUCACCAGAACGGACCUGACGGCAAGGGACGAAAGCUAGGGGCACGAACCGGAUUAGAUACCCGGGUAGUCCUAGCCGUAAACGAUACUCGCUAGGUGUCGGCCACGGUGCGACCGUUGUCGGUGCCGUAGGGAAGCCGUGAAGCGAGCCACCUGGGAAGUACGGCCGCAAGGCUGAAACUUAAAGGAAUUGGCGGGGGAGCAC
rnacentral:rRNA from 1 species